AUUUCCUACGGGAGGCAGCAGUGGGGAAUAUUGCACAAUGGGGGAAACCCUGAUGCAGCAACGCCGCGUGAGUGAAGAAGGAUUUCGGUAUGUAAAGCUCUAUCAGCAGGGAAGAAGAUGACGGUACCUGAUUAAGAAGCCCCGGCUAACUACGUGCCAGCAGCCGCGGUAAUUCGUAGGGGGCAAGCGUUAUCCGGAUUUACUGGGUGUAAAGGGAGCGCAGACGGCAGUG
rnacentral:rRNA from 1 species